rnacentral:lncRNA from 1 species
GGGGGAGGGAGGGAGGGAGGGAGGGAGGGAGGAAGGAAGGAAGGAAGGAGGCACAUUUACAAAAGUAUCUACUUCUAAAUGCUUGGAUUAUAAAAAUAAAUCUUAGUACUUGUGUAAGAAGCUUUAGUUCAAGAAGGUAAAACAAUAAAAGUCACCAACAAGAAGGAUUCUAUCAUAAAUCUAGACAAACUAGAAAGAAAUAAUAAAGACAUAAAGACUGCUUCUUCUGGCCUAUCCCUCUAGGUCCUGGCAGUGCUCACUCUAUCUAAUCUUCAGCUUUGCUCCCACGAAGGUAUUGGAGAGAACAUUCUCAGCGUGUGAUCUCUUCCCGGACCAGCCUGCCCAGGUGAGAUGUGAGCUAGCCUAAGAUUGGGUCUCAGCUUCCAGACGGAGCUAAGUGAGCUCCUUUCCCCUGUGAAGUACCCAGCUUCGGGAAGGUUGUUAUGGCAUCGGAAACUUGACUAAUGGAAGCAGACAACCUGGCUCCAAUCCCCACUCCCCUCACAGAAGAGUCCUGCUACGCCACAGCUAAGUGACUAUCCUCAGCGGACAUGAGGAGAACCCUCAGGGUCACGUUGCUGGGUUACAACAGCUGCUGUAUCUGGGAAAUGCUGAGUCUACAUCACCAGCUCUUUCUGGAGACCCCCAGUAUCUCUAAGAGAUGGAGCUAUGGAAGUCACCUCUUGCUCUGCAUGGCUGAGAAAUGAACACCCAACUCCACAGCUAUAAAGUCCUUUCCUCAGAACAUGAAAUCAUAGUACGGACUCAUGGAGAUGGAUUUGUUAGAGAUGGGUCCUUUUAAUGACGCUAUUCUGGAGCAGUAGGCAUUAAACAUGG